UAGGGAAUCUUCCGCAAUGGACGCAAGUCUGACGGAGCAACGCCGCGUGAGUGAAGAAGGAUUUCGGUUCGUAAAACUCUGUUGUUAGAGAAGAACAGCGCAUAGAGUAACUGUUAUGCGUGUGACGGUAUCUAACCAGAAAGCCACGGCUAACUACGUGCCAGCAGCCGCGGUAAUACGUAGGUGGCAAGCGUUGUCCGGAUUUAUUGGGCGUAAAGCGAGCGCAGGCGGUCAAUUAAGUCUGAUGUGAAAGCCCCCGGCUCAACCGGGGAGGGUCAUUGGAAACUGGGUGACUUGAGUGCAGAAGGGGAGAGUGGAAUUCCAUGUGUAGCGGUGAAAUGCGUAGAUAUAUGGAGGAACACCAGUGGCGAAGGCGACUCUCUGGUCUGUAACUGACGCUGAGGCUCGAAAGCGUGGGUAGCAAACAGG
rnacentral:rRNA from 1 species